rnacentral:tRNA from 1 species
GGGGCAAUAGCUCAGACUGGGAGAGCGCUGCGCUGAAGACGCAGGUGUCCCGGGUUCAAAUCCCGGUUGCCCCA